GAUCUUUGUCAAAACUGGGAUAAUCUCAUCUUUGAACUUUCCAGAAGCAGUUGCAGCAGCUGCUCGCUGGUGAGAAAUAACAGCAGCCUGGUCUUGUUCUAGCCGCGUCACUCCAAAUCGCUGUGCAACAUUCUCAGAAGUGAUGCCCAUAGGGAGAAGGCAGUCACGGGCUUGUGCAAAAGCAUCUACUUUCGGAUUAGCUUUUACAACUAGUCCAAUAUUGUCAACUGUCAUGAACUCUAGUCCAGCACCAAUGCCUAUGUCGUAGAAUCCUGCUUUUAUUGCUGCCGCUACAUCAGCAACAGCUUGGAGGCCAGAAGAACAUUGCCUGUUCACAGUUCUGAUUGGCACAGUAUCUGGAAAACCAGCAUAAAAUGCUGCCAUCCUGCACUCCAUUGCUCUUAUUGAACCAGGUGCCAAAACCGUACCAACAACAAUAUCUCCCACCUCACUUGGGUUCAGGUUGGUUUUCUCAACUACUGCCUUGAGAACUGGAGCAAGUAAAUCAUCUGAUAGUGUAUCCUUAAAACCUCCACGUUUAGCUUUGCAAAUAGCAGUACGGUAAGCUGCAACGAUCACGACAUCAUCCCCAAAAGCAGAUGUCCUAUGGUAUGCAGAACUGUCACCAGCUAAACAAACUGAAGGAGUGAUAGAAGAAGAACGAAUGGGCUGAAGAUGCUCCAAUAGAACUCUCUGCUUUUCAAUAGCUUUCUCCAUGAUCAAUUCCUCUUUUUUUCCCUUUGAG
rnacentral:misc_RNA from 1 species